rnacentral:rRNA from 1 species
GAUGAACGCUGGCGGUGUGCCUAAUACAUGCAAGUCGAGCGAACAGACGAGGAGCUUACUCCUCUGACGUUAGCGGCGGACGGGUGAGUAACACGUGGAUAACCUACCUAUAAGACUGGGAUAACUUCGGGAAACCGGAGCUAAUACCGGAUAACAUGUUGAACCGCAUGGUUCAACAGUGAAAGACGGUCUUGCUGUCACUUAUAGAUGGAUCCGCGUCGCAUUAGCUAGUUGGUAAGGUAACGGCUUACCAAGGCAACGAUGCGUAGCCGACCUGAGAGGGUGAUCGGCCACACUGGAACGGAGACACGGUCCAGACUCCUACGGGAGGCAGCAGUAGGGAAUCUUCCGCAAUGGGCGAAAGCCUGACGGAGCAACGCCGCGUGAGUGAAGAAGGUCUUCGGAUCGUAAAACUCUGUUAUUAGGGAAGAACAAAUGUGUAAGUAACUAUGCACGUCUUGACGGUACCUAAUCAGAAAGCCACGGCUAACUACGUG